rnacentral:rRNA from 1 species
UGCCAGCCGCCGCGGUAACACGUAGGCAUCAAGCGUUAUCCGGAUUUAUUGGGCGUAAAGAGCUCGUAGGCUGUUCGGUAAGUCGGGUGUGAAAACUCUGGGCUCAACCCAGAGAGGCCACUCGAUACUGCUGUGACUAGAGUGCGGUAGGGGAGCGGGGAAUUUCUGGUGUAGCGGUGAAAUGCGCAGAUAUCUGGAAGAACACCAGAGGCGAAGGCGGUCUCUUGGUCCGAAACUGACGCUGAGGCGCGAAAGCGUGGGGAGCAAACAGGAUUAGCUA